rnacentral:rRNA from 1 species
UACGUAGGGGGCUAGCGUUGUCCGGAAUCAUUGGGCGUAAAGGGCGCGUAGGCGGCCACCGCAAGUCAAUUGUGAAAUCUCCGGGCUUAACUCGGAAAGGUCAACUGAUACUGCGGGGCUAGAGUGCGGAAGGGGCAACUGGAAUUCUCGGUGUAGCGGUGAAAUGCGUAGAUAUCGAGAGGAACACCUGCGGCGAAGGCGGGUUGCUGGGCCGACACUGACGCUGAGGCGCGAAAGCCAGGGGAGCGAACGGG